rnacentral:rRNA from 1 species
UAGUCCACGCCGUAAACGAUGGUUACUAGUUGUUCGGAUUUCGGUCUGAGUGACUAAGCGAAAGUGAUAAGUAACCCACCUGGGGAGUACGUUCGCAAGAAUGAAACUCAAAGGAAUUGACGGGGGCCCGCACAAGCGGUGGAGCAUGUGGUUUAAUUCGAUGAUACGCGAGGAACCUUACCAGGGCUUAAAUGUAGAUUGACAGGUUUAGAGAUAGACUUUUCUUCGGACAAUUUACAAGGUGCUGCAUGGUGGUCGUCAGCUCGUGCCGUGAGGUGUCAGGUUAAGUCCUAUAACGAGCGCAACCCCUGUUGUUAGUUGCCAGCGAUUCAAGUCGGGAACUCUAACAAGACUGCCAGUGCAAACUGUGAGGAAGGUGGGGAUGACGUCAAAUCAUCACGGCCCUUACGUCCUGGGCUACACACGUGCUACAAUGGUAGGGACAGAGAGCAGCCACUUCGCGAGAAGGAGCGAAUCUAUAAACCCUAUCACAGUUCGGAUCGGAGUCUGC